rnacentral:lncRNA from 1 species
CUUAUCUCUUUAAGGUAUUAAGUCUACCUUGGGGUGGUAAAGUUUUGUACUCAACUUUACACUACAUUUCUUUAUAAUAUGGUGAUCAGACCAGUGAAUUUGUGUAUCCAAUAGAUGGAAGAAGAUCUGGAUUGACCCAUGAUACCGUGUCACACCAAACUUGUCUGAAUCUUAGUUUCUAAAUGGGAAUAAUGAUGUUUAUGGUGCCUACCUCACAGGGUAAAGGAUAAAGGUUGCAUAGGCUCUCCUGGCUCCUGUGCUGUCUAUGCUCAUUACAAGAGGGGUGACCAUCAAUUCAUGAAGACUAUGGAUAAAGGGAUAGUGGUCUGUAUCACCCCCAAAAGGGUAUCCACAUGGAGGAAAUAAUGGGUCAUAGAAGUAAAAAAAACCCAAACAUUUCAGCCUAGAGUGCUAUGGUCUUAAUAAUGAGCAGUUGAAGUCUACAUC